AUUGAACGCUGGCGGCAGGCCUAACACAUGCAAGUCGAGCGGAUGAAGGGAGCUUGCUCCUGGAUUCAGCGGCGGACGGGGGAGUAAUGCCUAGGAAUCUGCCUGGUAGUAGGGGAUAACGUCCUGAAACGGGCGCUACUACCGCAUGCGUCGUAAGGGAGCAAGUGGGGGAUCUUCGGACCGCACGCUAUCAGAUGAGCCUAGGUCGGAGUAGCUAGUUGGUGGGGUAAAGGCCUACCAAGGCGACGAUCCGUAACUGGUCUGAGAGGAUGAGCAGUCACACUGGAACUGAGACAGGGUCCAGACUCCUACGGGAGGCAGCAGUGGGGAAUAUUGGGCGAUGGGCGAAAGCCUGAUCCAGCGAAGCCGGGUGUGUGAAGAAGGUCUUCGGAUGGGAAAGCACUUUAAGUUGGGAGGAAGGGCAGUAAGUUAAUACCUUGCUGUUUUGACGUUACCAACAGAAGAAGCACCGGCUAACUUCGUG
rnacentral:rRNA from 1 species